UCUCAGAAAAAAUGCAGUUUUACGUUUUAAUAUUUAACCGCUUAUCUUAUUUGAGAAUUUUUUAUGAUUGAUAUUUUCGUUGUUAUUAGAUGAAAAAAAAUAUGAAUAGUACUUUAAGCGUGACUAAUUUUUUAAUAUUUUCGUAAAUUUUUCAAAUAAGACGGAUAAUCAAAUGUUGGACACGGAAACUCAUUAGUGCACUUAAA
rfam:Oryza punctata chromosome 3, whole genome shotgun sequence.